AUGGGGAGGUCUCCCUGCUGCGACAAGGCGAGCGUGAAGCGAGGGCCGUGGUCGCGGGAGGAGGACGCCAUUCUCAGGAACUUCGUCAGAAGGUUCGCCAAUGCCGGCAACUGGAUCACGCUGCCACAGAAAGCAGGGCUUAACCGCUGUGGCAAGAGCUGCCGGCUGCGGUGGCUCAACUACCUCCGCCCCGCGCUCCGGCACGGCGGCUUCACCGACGAGGAGGACAGCCUCAUAUUGUCCCUCUACGGCGACAUCGGAAGCAGGUGGUCGGUGAUCGCGGCCAAGCUCCCCGGCCGAACAGACAACGACGUCAAGAACCACUGGAACACCAAGCUCAAGAAGAGGUACUACUCGCUGACCGCGGCGCCAUCAACUCCCCCUACAGGCGGCGACGCCGUCGCGUCCGCCGACAGCCCUCACGGGGUCGAUCAAUCGUCCCUCCCCCCUCCUCCACCGGCCAUGGUGAACCUCGGCGCGGCCCUCGCCACGCUCGACGACGGCGGAGAGCUCACGCGUGAAUCGGAGCAGCUGUACGCCGAGCUCAUGGGGCUCAUCGAGCCGCAGUCCACGACCCGUGAAUCCACCGGGGAGGUGAUGUCGUCGCCGUCGUCAUUUGGAACAAGUCCGACGGCCAGUAGUUUUGCAGCGGGGAGCAGCGCUACGUGGCCAGUGGACGUGCAUGACACAAUACUGUGGCCGGAGUCUAGCGGGAGCGGCACGGUUGAAUUUGAUGAUCCUUGCGUUGCUCACACUUUCGGUCCGGCGUCCACGCCCGACUCUUUCCAAGAUUUGUUGGCCUCAUCUUACGACGAGGUCAUAGCGACUCAAGAGUUGCUGUACCUAGGAAUGAAUUGGUCUGAAUUCUGA
rnacentral:rRNA from 1 species